UAGUUUACUCUCGCGUGACUACGUGGUCUAAAAUGGACUACAAUGACAGCCCACCCACCACGGGCGGUAAAUGAGAGACUGGAUAAAAAAGCGUGUUUAAAACGCUUAUUUGAUAGCCAAGGACACAUUCCACACAAUCACCAGCAUGGUGUUGGGGGGCUUUUACAGAAGAUGGAAAAAAACUGCUCCCUGACUUUUGGGCCCAUGCACUGGGGAAGGCUUGUGUUCAGGGACACCGUGGGUUAGUGUUUGAGGUGCUGGCCCCACGCUUCUCCUUCUUUGGUGUCUAAUGAUCACAACCCUCAUGUCCUUUCCCCUGUCAUAGCUACUGUAGUUCAUGCUGGGAGGGAUGCAGAAACAACCUGGACAGUAGCAUAGUGCGUGUGAGAGGCAUGGUGAUGGUGGAGUGUCUGCGCUCCUGCAUGCACAUCAAUGUAGUCAAGCUCAAAUUUGGGGUACAGUAUGGAGCUGACCCAGACUCAAAGCUGGAUAGUGAUGAUUUGCUCACCCCCUACUGACCAGGAGAUGAGCCAAGAUGUCCUGCCUUGCUAUCCCCAAGACUGGAGGGUAAGCUACAGUAUAUAGGUCUCUCCAUGGGUGGAAGAUGGACGUUUAAGCUUAUAAAUGCUUAAAUCCCUUGACGUAUUGUUGAUUUCCACUAUUUUUUAAUAUAAAAAUGCACUGGAUUGGUUGAAAAGUGAUACUAAACUUACACUGAGUGUAGAAAACAUUAAGAACACCUUCCUAAUAUUGGGUUGCCUCCCCCUUUUGCCCUCAGAAUAGCCGCAAUUCAUCACAGCAUGGACUCUACAAGGUGUCAAAAGUGUUCCACAGGGCCCAUGUAGACUCUAAUGCCUCCCACGGUUGUGUGAAGUUGGUUGGAUGUCCUUUGGGUGGUGGACCAUUUUUGAUACACACAGAAAAUUGUUGUGAAAAACCCAGCAGUGUUGCAGUUCUUGACACAAACCGGUACGCCUGGUACCUACUACCAUACCCCGGUCAAAGGCUCUUCAACCUGCCUCCUCCCAUUCAUCUAUACUGAUUGAAGUGGAUAUAACAAGUUACAUCCAUAAGGGAUCAUAGCUGGAUUCACCUGGUCAGUCUCUCAUGGAAAGAGCAGGUGUACAUAAUGUUUUGUACACUAAGUGUACAUCCUGUACCAUGUACAAUUUUGACAAGGUGGAAGAUACAUACUGAAUUUAUACUGUUUUUAUACUAAGAUGAACCAAGAUAUGUGUUUCUUUUUCACAUACUUGUUCAUUGGUUUUUGCAAAAGUUGGUUGAUUGGUCGGUUCAUUGGUUCUGCAAUAUGUUGAUGCCAUUGAUUAAAAAGGGAAAGAAUAGGAUGCCAUGCCCAACCCAAAAUAUAAGCUUGUUUUACUCCAUUGUUUUAUAAAUAGAAUUGUUCAAAUAAAUUCUCAGUUAGUUUUAUAAAUAAUGAUGAUGAUUACUAAAUAUUACAUGAACUGUAAAUAUGAACCAUCAAAACCAAAUGAAAACCCCUUUUGUUCAUAUGUAUUUGCAAUAAUAACGGUGAGACAUGGAAUAGUUAAACAUGUAUCUUUUGGAUGUUUGAAAUAUGAGUAGGAUGUUUGAAAUACGGCUAGAGUAGGUGAUUUGAGUCAUGCUUCUUCAGUAGUGGAAUAAAAACAUUUAGCACUUGAA